UACGUAGGGGGCCAGCGUUGUCCGGAAUCAUUGGGCGUAAAGCGCGCGUAGGCGGCCAGAUAAGUCCGGUGUGAAAGUCAAAGGCUCAACCUUUGAAUGCCGCUGGAAACUGCCUGGCUUGAGUCCGGAAGGGGCGAGUGGAAUUCCUGGUGUAGCGGUGAAAUGCGCAGAUAUCAGGAAGAACACCCGUGGCGAAGGCGGCUCUCUGGGACGGUACUGACGCUGAGACGCGAAAGCGUGGGGAGCGAACAGG
rnacentral:rRNA from 1 species